rnacentral:rRNA from 1 species
UGGGGGAUAUUGCACAAUGGGCGAAAGCCUGAUGCAGCGACGCCGCGUGGGGGAUGAAGGCCUUCGGGUUGUAAACUUCUUUUGCUCUGAACAAGGCGCACCAUGGGGUGUGUUGAGUGUAGGGGUUGAUUAGCGCCGGCUAACUACGUGCCAGCAGCCGCGGUAAUACGGAGGGCGCGAGCGUUGUCCGGAAUUAUUGGGCGUAAAGGGCUUGUAGGUGGCUGGUUGCGUCUGUCGUGAAAGCUCAUGGCUUAACUGUGGGUUUGCGGUGGAUACGGGCGGGCUUGAGUGCAGUAGGGGAGGCUGGAAUUCCUGGUGUAGCGGUGGAAUGCGCAGAUAUCAGGAGGAAUACCGGUGGCGAAGGCGGGUCUCUGGGCUGUUACUGACACUGAGGAGCGAAAGCAUGGGGAGCGAACAGG